rnacentral:lncRNA from 1 species
ACCAUGCUGUAUGUUAGAUCCCCAGAACUUGUUCAUCUUAUAACUGAAAGUUUGUCGUUUUGACUAACAUGUCCACAUUUUCCCCACACUCCAGCCUCCGGCAACCACCCAUUCUACUCUCUGCUUCUGUGAAUUCAACUUUUGAAGAUUCCACAUACAAUUUCUGUGGGUUAGGAAUAAAGGAAAAGAUUUGUUGGAUGCCUCUGCCUUAAUGUCUCUUCAAGGCUGCAGUCAAGGUGUUGGCUGGGGCUGCUGUUUCAUCUGAAGACUCAACUGGGAAAGGAUCUGUUGUCAAGCUCAUUUGUAUGGUUAAUUGUAAAUUUGUGAAAUAGCACAAAGCCAAGUUGAAGACAAUAUCUUCCCUAAUAACAGUAGUGCAAUGACAGCCAGCCAGAAAAGUUCUCCACCUUGGCAGCAAUGAGACUAAGACUUUUAUGCCUGAAUUGCUAUCUUUUUUUUCCAGGAUUUGAAAUGCCAUGCCUGGCACAGUAUCUGGAACAGAAUAU